AGGCAAGCAAUCUUUCAAACAAAGAAACAAACAAACAAAACCAAAAACAUUCCUUACAGGAAGAUGAUCAUCGUAGACCAAGAAUGGAUGAACAAGGGUAAUUGUGAGAAGAAAAAUGAAAUAUGGGACAGAAAAUCCCAGGUCAAGUUGGAGGUUAGAGCAAUAAAGAGAGCAGUAGUUUGAGUUGGUGGACAGUGAUGGAAACUGGGGAUUACCAGGAGAAGUCCUGGGCCUCUUUAAGAAUUUGCUAAACGCAUGAAACU
rnacentral:lncRNA from 1 species